CUAAGAAUAUUCCGCAAUGGAGGAAACUCUGACGGAGCAACGCCGCGUGGACGAUGAAGGCCGGAAGGUUGUAAAGUCCUUUUAUAAUUGAGGAAUAAGCGGGACAGGGAAUGGUUCCGCGGUGACUGUAGAUUAUGAAUAAGCACCGGCUAAUUACGUGCCAGCAGCCGCGGUAAUACGGAGGGUGCAAGCGUUAUCCGGAUUUAUUGGGUUUAAAGGGUGCGUAGGCUGUAAGUCAAGUCAGCGGUGAAAAGUCGGGGCUAAACCUUGAGGGUGCCGUUGAAACUGAUUUACUAGAAUGUGGAUGAUGCCGGCGGAAUGUGUCAAGUAGCGGUGAAAUGCAUAGAUAUGACACAGAAGGCCGAUUGCGAAGGCAGCUGGCAA
rnacentral:rRNA from 1 species